rnacentral:lncRNA from 1 species
AAGUUGGUAAAAAUAAUAAAAUAAACCAAUGGAGCUCUUGAUUUAACUAAGUUCAUUUCAUAAGGAAAAACCAUUUAUUGCAUAUAUUUACUGUUGCGAAAUUUCCAAAAUCAACCUACAGGGAUACAAUAAUUCAAAUGAUAUUCCAUUUUCAAGUGAGUAAUAGCAACCACUUUCUCUUUUUAUUUACCUACUAGUAUUCCUGGUGGCCUAUAAGGAUGUCCCAUUAUACGUGAAACAAUAUUCAACAUUAUCAACUAACCGGCCGUCCCAAU